CCCUCGCCUCGUCCCACUCCCACUCCCAUUCUAGCCGCCAAAUAAACCCUAGCCCCCUUGCCCAAUGCCCCCCGAUCCCCACAGCCGCCGCACGGCCUCGCUCCUCCUUCCCUCCCGCCACAACCUCUCCUUGCUCGCAACCGCCUCCUUCCCACCUCCGCCCGAGCUCCGCCUUCCUCGCCCGCCUCCUCCUCCUUGCCAUUGGCGGAAGCGUUGAGCAUAGGGGCAGCGGCUAGACGCGAUGAGCUUGCCUCCGGCGGCGCUAGGAACCUGCACGCAAAGGGCGACCCCAUGGAUCUGUCCCUGCAGGAGAUAGAAGUUGGAGGGAGGAUUGAAGGAUAGGGGGAGGUAGGCGUGCUGGGGCGGGGUUGUCUCGCCUGCGAUCCUCGCCUGCCUCCUCCUCCUUGCCAUCGGCGGAAGCGCUGAGCAUAGGGGCAGCGGCUGGACGUGAUGAGCUUGCCUCCGGCGGCGCUAGGAACCUGCACGCAAAGGGCGACCCCAUGGAUCCGUCCCUGUAGGAGAGAGAAGAUGGAGGGAGGAUUGAAGGAUAGGAGGAGGUAGGCGUGCUAGGGCGGGGUGGUCUCGCCUGCGAUGACAGGGCUGACCGACCGGAGUUGGAUCGAGAUCCCGGCUGGCACGGCUCGGCUCCAACUCCCUCUUCCACCUCUCCGCUCCCUGACACUCAAAUCUGGCUCUUCUACACACAUCCGUAGCUAUGGAAAGAAAGCUUGUAGUGGAGUGGCUUCCUUUGUAUGAUCCUGGAAGAUGGUCUAUAUUGUUGACUAUGGACUUCAGACCGUUUAUAUUUUCCUCCGUGAACCUACCACUGAUGUUUUGGAGGUGCUUGCUUUGCGUAGAUGACCUCUGAAGCCCAUUAGAAAGCAUGGCAACGGCUAAAGGUUAGCGCAUUUCGAGAAGCCAACAGAUCGCCGCCUACUUCCUUAGGCUGACAAUCACCUGCAGGAUAAAGUGCGAUGUUUUGCCCGAGGGGUUGGAGCAGGACCGCAGGAUGAGAGAAGAUCAAGGACUGGGCCAACGCGGUCAUCACGCACGAACCAGUGUAGCCCAUUGGCACUGGUAAAGUAGUAUCGGCGGCUCAGGGACAUGAAGUUUCUCAAAACUAACAAAUGCUGCUCUCUGAUAAAUUAGGAGGCUGAAGAUGAUGCUAUCUGGAUUUGCCGCCACCGCCUCGAGUCGCUUUCGCCUGUAAAUCCAGUCGCCACCAUGGUAAUUUCUUUUCAGUACCAACUCUCCUCCUGUCCCCCGCAUUUGCUUGCUACGGGUUCUUUUUGUGUGUGUGCUUGUUGGCUUAGUGACGUGUGUGUUCAGGCACGCGUUGUCUUUGCCUGCCAGGGUGUUGGCUCUGCUACUUGGCCGGUUACAGCAAGUAGGAAGCUGAUAGGAUGGUAUUUCUCCUUCGUCAGCCAAGGAGUUCACACAUCUCUCGGUUCUCUGGGCAUGUCACCAUGGACAAGAAGAGUGGGAGGACACUCUUCUACUGGUUCUUGGAGGCUCAGGCACAACGUCUCCUUCUCUAGCUCAAUUGGGAUUUCUUACUUACCUCAUUCUCUUGUUUUUCAUUUUUUUUACUUAGUCACUUAUUUCUGGAAAGAUUUUGUAGCUAUUAUCUUGAGCUGCUUGUAGUUCAAUAAUGUUUCGGUUGCUACUUGGGGUGCAUACAUGAGAAUACACAUUAUUUUUCAGUUCAAUGCGAAAUAGAUAACUUUUGGUUGUCGCCAUUAGGACACAAAAGUACUAGAUUUUGAAGUUUUUAAUAGCUCAAAUAUGCCAACUGCAGAGCAACAUGGCAGUUACAAUGGUUCCAUGUCCUAAUUAGUUCUUUUAUUUCGUUUUGCAGGCGUAUUAUGUUGGAGGUUGUUUCUUAUUUUUACUAUAGAUCAAGUUUCUUUGUUUCCUUUCUAGCUACCUCUGUUGCAUUUGUUUUAUAUAUCCUAUAUGCUUUAAAUAUCCUAUAUGCUGUCAUGAUCCUUGCUUCAGUCCUCAUGUUGAUUUUCCAAAUUUGGUUGGGUGUUUUUUUUGGCCCUUGUGCGCUUUGAUCGAUGUGCUCUGGCUUUGUGACUCUGAUGAUGCACAGGCAAUGGCGGCAUGGGUGGAAUGAGAGGAAGGAUGGGAAUCAGCUACUUGCAUUCACAUGGAGGAGGCAACGUCAACUCGAUGGCACAGCAGAGGAGGCUGGGCUCGUUGUGGAUCUUCUUGAGGCAGCAGGACGUCCGCGAGAGCAUCGCUGCUGGCAACGGCUCGAGUGACCUCUUGAGGAUCUUCUCCAUGAGCACCUGGGACGACACCAACUCCAACAUCAUGUUCUCAGCGCCCGACAGCAAGAAGGCCGAGGUGCUCGGCGACAGCGAUGUCAGCAUGGUCACCAGCUUCAGCAACAUCGACUCCCAGUUAGCCCUCUCGAGCUGGACAUGCCCAGCAUGGACGACUACCUGCAGCUGCAGCAGGACUCCGCCGACUACAGAGUCCAUGCCGAGCGUGGCUGCACCACUGACCCGCAGAGCAUUGCUUGGGAGGGAAAGAAGAACAAGGAUCAAUAAGAGGCUAAGGAGGCUGCAAAGAUCUCAUUCCCUACAUGGACAAGGUCACAAGGUAACUAAAUCAGCUGAAUUGAUGCACACUGUCAAUUAUGUUACGACACAGAGAUGAAAUUUUCAUUAGGAAUUACAGAAAAUUGUACUCGCUAAAGUACUAAAUCUGAUGACUACAUGUUGCAUAUUUAGCGAUAAAACUGAAUACUAAAGUACUAAAUUUGGUGUUCCUAACCCGAGUUGGAAGUGUUGCCCACGAAAAUCGGUAGUUGUCAAUAACCCGGACCUUAGUUACUUCAGAUUUCAGAAUUGCAAAAGUGGCAACUAAAAAAAACCUUAAAUGUUAGCUAUACUUUCUGUCGUUAUCAUGAUGGUGCAAUACUUUGUAGUAGAUUCUCUUCGAAUCCUUCUCUAACAAGGUUAUGGUAGUAAUUUGUACAAAAGUUGCUAUGAUUUUUUGAUUCUCAGUUUAUUCUACCAUGGAUUCCCUCUGGUAUGUGCAUGUUUCACGACUGAAUAUACACGUGGAAGAAACUUGAGAGCCAAUAUUAGUGCUAAAGGAUUACUCUGAUUGCCGAUCUAUGCUGUCGCGGCAACACAGGCCAAUACACAUUCAGGAAAUAUGUGACCAACUUCCCCAAGGUCCCGCAUCGUCUACUCAGGAUAUUCUGUGCCCCAAGCCCUACAGAAUAAUGCCCAGUCUAAUUUCAACAGUGGGCAUGACAACAUCAAACUUCUCUCUUCAAUAUUGAAGAAGCGGCGGCUUACUCGGAUCAAUGGGCAUGCACUUAGAAAAAUAGCUAAAGAGUAUGUGAUAUUCCUAGAGUAAAUAAAGGACAUGGUGUGCUCAUAAGUUAGACAGAAGCAAAAUGUUAUUUAUUAUGCUCCUGUUGUAUCUUCAGACAUUUUCUUCCACCUACCAAUACCCCAGUAUUGAAUAUCUACUUUCCCAUUGUCGUACAUAAACUGAUGUUAGUAUUUGUGCA